UCUCCUGUUCCUGGAUCCUUGCUGUAGAAUUGUAGGAAACACGGAGUUCACGGUGCAUCAGCCAGAAAGGAUCUCUCCCUUUUGGGGAAGGUCUGGGGCCCCGGCCUAGACACCACGUGUGCGCCCCGCCUGCACUGCGUUCCCACGGUGCCCGGCCUCCUCGCCCGCUUUACGGCUGUUGUUUUCUCCAUCAUGGCCAGGAUUUGGGGAUUUUUCACUCUGCUUAGUGCCAGGGCUUUUUCCUUUCUCAGCCUGAAGACAGCCACUCUUGCUGCUCCCCGAGAAGCCCAGCCUCGCCUUGUCACUGUGCCCAGGACAGAUCUGGGGCUUGUGAAUGAGGGUGCCUCCUACCUGUGAGCUCAACUGUGUGCUGUGUGAUAUCACCGGCCUUGUCUCCCCGGGUGUGAGGUGACGCCUCAGAGCGGGCCUGGGACGCCCUCCACCUGGCCAGGCCUCCUGCCACUCCCGCCUCAUUCUCCUCACCAGCUGUCAUUACACCCACGAGAAAAGUGCACACGUUGGCUGAUGAAAUUAAUAUUAGAAAGCAUCACUAAAAUAAACCCUUUCAGGUCAGAUCCACCAGGAAGUGUUUAACAGACAAACCGUUCCAUCUGCCGCCUUGAAGGUGAAGGUUCUUCCCCAGGGCUGAUGUCACUUGCAUCUCUGUGAUAUUUCCUGAGCACCUGCUGCUUUUCCCCUACAUUCCUACUCAUCCAGGCACUGUUUCAGGUACUGCCUCGAAGAGACUACGUGCUUAGGCACCUCUUGAAAUCCCACUAAUGUGGAGAAAUCUUUCCCUGUGAUUUGGCACAGAAGCUGAUGCUUCCUCUCCAAGGUGACAGCUCGGCAGUGAGAGAAAUUUCAGGUGCCUUCCUGGAACAGUUAUCUGAUGUUUCUGAGUGUGAUCACCAAUGUUCCUAAUAGGACCUUCCUAUAAGCAGUUGGUUGAGCAGCUGUGUGUAUGAGACAUGGAGAGAAAGAGGGAGAUAAUAUAGUUGUCACUAUUGUUUCUAAAUGACAAGACUGGUUUUAUUACUGUGGUACAAUUAUUAGUGCUGCAUAUCACCUCUGUAUUAAAAAAGUUUUUUUUAACAAA